rnacentral:rRNA from 1 species
CACGUAGGGUGCGAGCGUUGUCCGGAAUUAUUGGGCGUAAAGAGCUCGUAGGCGGUGUGUCGCGUCGGCCGUGAAAACCUGCAGCUUAACUGUGGGCGUGCGGUCGAUACGGGCAUCACUGGAGUUCGGCAGGGGAGACUGGAAUUCCUGGUGUAGCGGUGAAAUGCGCAGAUAUCAGGAGGAACACCGGUGGCGAAGGCGGGUCUCUGGGCCGAUACUGACGCUGAGGAGCGAAAGCGUGGGGAGCAAACAGG